ACAAAUUUUGAAGUUGAGUCAGAAAUUAAAGGGUGGCUACGACAUGCAAAGGACAGGAGACUGAGGCAGAAGACCAGCGGCUGAUGACCCACAGCUUACAUGGCCAGAGAAAGUCCACAUCACGCCAUGAGGUCAAAGGGCAACGAGUAGUGGAACGCCUUCUUUCAUCAUCAGUGCAACCUUCCGCACAGUUAUGGGGAGGAUUGGAACUUUUGUGACUACUGUGAUAUAACUACCGUGUACCUGUCAUGUAAAAGACAACACAGCACUCUCGCGUGCAAGAGCCACAUGUGUAAAACCACAUGGCUAAUUGAGCCUUUCAACCUUGUA